rnacentral:rRNA from 1 species
UGCCCGGUGACCUACGGGUUAAACGGCCGCGGUACACUGACCGUGCAAAGGUAGCACAAUCACUUGCCUUUUAAUUGGAGGCUGGUAUGAAUGGUUUGACGAGGGCUGAGCUGUCUCUCCUGGAAUAUUUAAAAAUUAACUUCUAAGUGAAAAGGCUUAGAUUUAACUGAGGGACGAGAAGACCCUGUUGAGCUUUAGUGUGGAAUAAAAGGUUUAUUUUUAUUAGAAUAGAGGAUUUUAAGUUUAUUCUUACAUCUUUAGUUGGGGUGACUAGGGAACAUGGAAAGCUUCUCUGUUAAUUUGUAGAAAUUUGGUUUACUAACGAGUGAUCCAGCAUUGCUGAUUAUCGGAAAAAGUUACCACAGGGAUAACAGCGUAAUCUUUCUGGAGAGUUCACAUUGAAAGAAGGGUUUGCGACCU